AGUGAACGCUGGCGGCGUGCCUAAUACAUGCAAGUCGAACGGAGAUUAAGUAGCUUGCUAUUUAAUCUUAGUGGCGCACGGGUGAGUAAUAUAUAGCUAACUUGCCCAUUACUAAGGGACAACAGUUGGAAACGACUGCUAAUACCUUAUACUCCGUAUCUAUAUAAGUAGAUACGGGAAAGUUUUUCGGUAAUGGAUAGGGCUAUAUCGUAUCAGCUAGUUGGUAAGGUAAUGGCUUACCAAGGCUAUGACGCGUAACUGGUCUGAGAGGAUGAUCAGUCACACUGGAACCGAGACACGGUCCAGACUCCUACGGGAGGCAGCAGUAGGGAAUAUUGCUCAAUGGGGGAAACCCUGAAGCAGCAACGCCGCGUGGAGGAUGACACUUUUCGGAGCGUAAACUCCUUUUCUUGGGAAAGAAUUAUGACGGUACCCAAGGAAUAAGCACCGGCUAACUCCGUG
rnacentral:rRNA from 1 species